rnacentral:lncRNA from 1 species
GAAUAGUUCGUGGUGGAGGAGACAAUUUUGCAAGCCAACCCAUUCCUAACAGAGCCGCCGGUUUACUCCAUCAACAAACAUCCCCAAACCCGUCAGAUCUUCCAAACAAAUUUAUGUUUCUGUUGAGAGUUGAUUCCUUAAGUAAGUCCUGCAAGUGAAGAAGAUGAAUCAGUCAGAAUAAGAACAACGAAAUAAGACGAAGAUAAUCAAGUUGUAAGUGGAAGAAGAAGAAGAAGACAAAAGUCAGAACAACAAAACAGAGAAAAUAAAAUAGAGAAAAAGAGAGUUCGAGAGUAAGAACGAAAAGAGAUACAAACCUGAGGUCCUGAGCUAAAAUACAACAAAGUUUCCAGGGAGAUUUAAGAAAUGAAUGAACUCGAAAACCAACAAAAAUAUCACAUACCGAGAAAUUAGUGGGAUUGGUUGUCGUCGAUCUCGUCUCGGAAACGAUUACGAUGGUUUACCGUCAAUUUCUCCGACAAAUUUUUGAGGCUUCCUUGUCGUCGGUGAUUUCCGAGAGGAUAUCAACAAUUCUCCGAGGGAUGAAAUUUC